rnacentral:rRNA from 1 species
AACGAACGCUGGCGGCAUGCCUAACACAUGCAAGUCGAACGAAGCCUUCGGGCUUAGUGGCGCACGGGUGCGUAACGCGUGGGAAUCUGCCUCUUGCUUCGGAAUAACAGUUAGAAAUGACUGCUAAUACCGGAUGAUGUCUUCGGACCAAAGAUUUAUCGGCAAGAGAUGAGCCCGCGUAGGAUUAGGUAGUUGGUGGGGUAAAGGCCUACCAAGCCGACGAUCCUUAGCUGGUCUGAGAGGAUGAUCAGCCACACUGGGACUGAGACACGGCCCAGACUCCUACGGGAGGCAGCAGUGGGGAAUAUUGGACAAUGGGGGAAACCCUGAUCCAGCAAUGCCGCGUGAGUGAUGAAGGCCUUAGGGUUGUAAAGCUCUUUUACCAGGGAUGAUAAUGACAGUACCUGGAGAAUAAGCUCCGGCUAACUCCGUGCCAGCCGCCGCUGUAAAAC